rnacentral:tRNA from 1 species
CCCCUGGUGGUCCAGAGGUUGAGACGCCACACUCCCAAUGCAGGAGGCCCAGGUUCAAUCCCUGGUCAGGGAA